rnacentral:snRNA from 1 species
AGACGUGAGGAUGAUCUGGUUGUGAAAACUGUCAACUGCUGAUCGCCAGGGUUGAUACAGCUGAUCUGACAGGCUGAACAGGUGUCCCCUUCCUCCCUCAAGUCCUCUUCUUCCCCCAUAUCCCCCCCCAUCACUCCACGUGCAUGCCACUUGAAGCUGCAUGCUUCCCCAAAUAGAAAAGGACUCAGAGUAUAAGUACCUGCUCUCUCUGUCCAGAACCUCCAAGCAAGCUCUCAGGACUGAAGGAACUACAUUCUACUGUGACCAAUCUGUUUGAAAAUUUGGCCAUUGU